rnacentral:misc_RNA from 1 species
AAGCAAGUGAUGUUUUUUGGGGAUUUUGUAACCUUGAAGGAUGAAAAGUCUUUCUUCGAGUAACAAUUGCUUUAGCAGUUUAGGACAGAGUGCCUUGAGGAUCAUUUUAUAUAAAAUUUUGGUGAUGGACCUUUGGUCUAAUUUAUACAUGUUCUUCACAGCACGAUAUCAACAAAAUGUUGGUGUUUUAGGAUAGAGUUUGCCUAUCUACUGGUUUAUCAAAACAAAGAAAUAAUUAGAAGAGUAAAUAGGCCACUCUUAUUGUUAAUUGUGCCUUUGUUCGUUUACUAAAAUGAUACUAGGAGUAAUUAUUUGUGACUAGAAGAAUAUAUAAGCCAUCUUAUUGUUUCAGCUCUUUCUCAUUGCUUACUCUGUUACUCUUACUAAUUGUGAAUUUGUUUGUUUACCAAAAUGAUACUAGGAAUAAUCAUCUGCCCUUUAUUUAUACAUUAGUUAUUUUGUCAAUGCCCUAUAAACUAUAUAUUAAUGAGAAAGCUCACACUUGUGUGGCAGUUGAUUUUGCCUUUCGGUAAGAGGUUCAUCAAAUUUAUGUAGCUGUUAUAUGAAUUUCCAAAUAGGCUCAUCGAUUUGAUAUCAGGGCCACAUCUCAGUAUGUAGAUUGAAGUGUACUCUAGAAGUACAAAGUUUCUGUAUAUUAUUCUUUAGUAAGAUUUUACCAUUGGCUAAAUUUGCACAUUUACUGCUUUGUAUAAAAUAUUUCUGAUUGCUGUUAUGCGAUUUAAGGAACCCUAUUCAUGGAAGGAGA